rnacentral:rRNA from 1 species
AACGAACGCUGGCGGCAUGCCUAACACAUGCAAGUCGAACGAGACCUUCGUGUCUAGUGGCGCACGGGUGCGUAACGCGUGGGAACCUGCCCUUAGGUUCGGAAUAACUCCCCGAAAUGGGUGCUAAUACCGGAUAAUGUCUUCGGACCAAAGAUUUAUCGCCUUUGGAUGGGCCCGCGUUGGAUUAGCUAGUUGGUAGGGUAAAAGCCUACCAAGGCGACGAUCCAUAGCUGGUCUGAGAGGAUGAUCAGCCACACUGGGACUGAGACACGGCCCAGACUACUACGGGAGGCAGCAGUGGGGAAUAUUGGACAAUGGGCGAAAGCCUGAUCCAGCAAUGCCGCGUGAGUGAUGAAGGCCUUAGGGUUGUAAAGCUCUUUUACCCGGGAUGAUAAUGACAGUACCGGGAGAAUAAGCUCCGGCUAACUCCGUG